AGUCGAACGUGAAGCCACCUUCGGGUGGUGGAAAGUGGCAGACGGGUGAGUAACGCGUGGGAACGUGCCCUUCGGUUCGGGAUAACCCAGGGAAACUUGGGCUAACACCGGAUACGCCCUUCGGGGGAAAAAUUUAUUGCCGAAGGAUCGGCCCGCGUCGGAUUAGCUUGUUGGUGGGGUAAAAGCCUACCAAGGCGACGAUCCGUAGCUGGUCUGAGAGGAUGAUCAGCCACACUGGGACUGAGACACGGCCCAGACUCCUACGGGAGGCAGCAGUGGGGAAUAUUGGACAAUGGGCGCAAGCCUGAUCCAGCCAUGCCGCGUGGGUGAAGAAGGCCUUAGGGUUGUAAAUCCCUUUCAGCGGGGAAGAUAAUGACGGUACCAUCAGAGGAAGCUCCGGCUAACUCCGUGCCAGCAGCCGCGGUAACACGGGGGGAGCAAGCGUUGUUCGGAAUCACUGGGCGUAAAGCGCGCGUAGGCGGCCGAGUAAGUCGUAUGUGAAAGCCCGGGGCUCAACUCCGGUAUUGCAUGCGAUACUGCCCGGCUGGAGAAAGGUAGAGGCAAGUGGAAUUCCCGGUGUAGCGGUGGAAUGCGUAGAUAUCGGGAAGAACACCUG
rnacentral:rRNA from 1 species